GGGGCAAGGAGUUGUAACUUCCAACUCUGGGGAAGGCAGACACGCAGAGAUCAGAAGCAGCAGCUCAGCUCCCGCCUGGGGCUCGCCUUCCUCCCCGUGGCACCUGCCCCCUCUACAGAGACAGAAAGCGGCUGAGGGGCUGCCGGGGGCUGGAGCGGAGAGGGGAAAUAGGGAGUGACUGCUGGUGGGUAUGUGGUUUCUUUCUGGGGUGAUGAAACGUUCUAAAAUUAGAUUGUGGUGAUGGUUGUAGAACUUCGUGAAUACACUAAAAACCACUGCAGUAAAAAAAUUACUGGCGCAUAGUUUAGUUAUAUGAAAAUAUGAUUAUACCUACAAGGAGAGCAGGAACCAGGCGAGGGCUACAGCUAGACCCCGAACGGCUGUCUGAGCCUACAGAAUCGGCAGACACAGAGGGACCAAGCGCACCAGGCCUCCUCUUUUUCUGUAGGGAGAGGUGGCGUUCCAGAAAAAAACAAGCCGUCUUCUGUGAAAAUCAGGACUCUGGGAGGAGAAGGGGUAGAAGAAGAGGACCGUGGGCAACGCAGGAGGAAGAGCUAGGAGGUGAGAAAACACCCACAGGGGACUCUCCCGUGGCCCUGGUCAUGAGCCCUCUGUUGUGCACUGUGCAGGCUCCAGACCAGGGCAGAGCGAAUCCUCUCCCCACUGACACCCGGCCUGCCUGGCCUCCGUCCUGGUGAGAGCGAGCUCCACCAGCACCUUCCUGAGGCCUGCUGGGCGGGGAGUGGUACCCCCACCUGCACUGCACCGAUGGCCAGCUGUCAGGUGGGACAGGUGAGCCAGAGGCAGGCUCUGUGACGCGGAAAGGGAACGGCCUCUACGUGAACUAUGGAACAGCGUACACUCCAGACUCAGGCUAGACAGAACCUUACUCCUGACGGGCAGGAGCCCGGAAUAAACAGCUCUGCCCUCUCCUGUCACACCCACUGUGCUGUAAGUUAAAAAAAGAAAAAGAAAGGACAUCAGACGGAAUAAACAGUAUAACUGCAAUACAUCAAAAAAAAAAAUACUAUAACAUUAGGCUUCAAUGAAAAUAUACCAAAAUAUUAUUAGUGGUUAUUCUACCUGGCCACGAUUCCCUUACUACACUUCAAUUCCCUAGAAGGCAUGGUGAUUAGAGCAUAACAGAUAUUUAGUUAAUAUCUGGUGACUGGAAUGAAUGUAUAAAUAAAUGGAGGCACAGAUUUCUGUGAGUGUAAUACAAUUACAGAUUUUUAUUGUUCUCUGUUUUUCAAAUUUCUUUAAGUUUGUACAACUGACUAUACACGUUAUGUACUGUUUCUGGUUCGAGUUGGCUGGCUGACAGUGCCUAUUUCUCUCUUUCUCCCCAAGAGACCCCAUUACAAUGAUAAUAAAGGCAUGUUUUAGAAAGCUGUAAAAACAUGAAGAGAAUGGUGGAGCGGCCACCCAUGGCUGAGGGAUGACAUUGCAGGAAGAGGGAAAACCGGGGGAGGCACGGCUGCUGAAGAACACGGGCAGGGGCCGCGCAGGAUGGAGCACGCGGAGGGACAGUGUGGCCGCGGGGACAGCCACUCCCUUCUGUGGACCCAGCGGCGCAUCUCGGGGCUGGAAGCACCAGGUCACACCCGAGACCUCAAAGGCAGGUCCUGGUCCCAUUCCACCAGUCAGGUAAACGCUCCGGAGUGGGGAGGUGCAGGGAGCAGGGCAGCGAGCUGGCUUUUCAUUAUUCUGGUUGUUGUUGUUAUUACAGCAGACGCCUGCCCACCUGGAGGCCCGGCUUCCUUUAAGACCCGAGAGAGUAACGGUGGUCGUUCUGCAGGCGCAGGCCGAGCUGCCUCACUGGCAGGCCGCAGGGACCCGCAAAUCUUAAGACAAAACUUGCCUCCACAGCGGGCACUCUGUCCACUGCAUCUACUAAGUGGAUCUCUUGCCACUGCUUCAUGCUUUCUUGCAACAGCUUAAAAGAUUAGAAGUAACCCAGGCAGCCAUUCCCAAGUAAAUUAAACUUUAAAAUCCCAACAAAAGGGAUUAGCCUUAUUUCUGAGAUUCUAGAGUAAGAGGACGUAGGACGAACGGGCCAGGUAAGAGAGGAAAAUGAGCGGCUCAGCGAAAGAAAGAACCUGGUCACAGCCAGGGGGGAGUAGCGCCCCUGCGCGGAGCCUGGGUUCCUCACUGUGUAGACACGGGCAGCCUGGGCUCCGCUAAGCGGAUUUCUGGUACACGCUAGAGAGAGCUCGGUCCCGGCGUCCCUGACUGACCCCUGCGCGUGGCUUCUCAGCUCCUGGCCCAGCUCCAUCCCGUAGGGCACGGCAGCUCCAGGAAGCAGCUGUCCCCACCCACGCCCGAGCAGGUGGCAGGUGCAGGGGCAGGCCUGCCACAAGAACCAGAGUUCAAGCUUCGCAGCUUCAGUCGGCUUCACAUGCCUUGUGCACGAGUUGCCCUUGCUUUUGCUUCUGCGUGUGGGCAAGUCUCAGGCGGCAGGCACACUGCUGCGCAUGCCAGAAGGUCUCUGCCUUGACUGUCCCCACCGCAUGGACUUCCUUUCAAGACCAAGUCAUUUCUCUGGUAGAAGAUCCCACACUCUUCCUCUCCCUGUGACUCCAUUUAAGACGGCCACUCCCUUAAUUACAGUAAGACCCAUGAGGAACUCGGAAAUCACUGUCUUCAAGGGCUUGACUGCAUUCUUAGCCAAAGGCGAAUUUCCUUCCAGGCUUGGUCUGGGGGCGGGGCUGCGCCAGUCCUAGGGGUAGGAAGAUAAGUGGGACAGUCACUUUGCUGAGCUGCUAAGAGGUGAAACGGGCAAGAAGUUAAACCCACUGGCCUCGGCUCUAACAUGCAGUUAUUUAGGGAUUUCUUUGGUCCACUUUUCUCCACCUCCACUGCGCCACGUACCUGGGUUUUCCUCCUUCUGUUUUUGCUCCUCACUAAACAAUUCCCCACACUGUUGUGAGUGAUCUUUAUAAAACGUAAUUAGAUCCCCUCGUUUUUAACACAGCGUGGCAUGGUCCAGUCCUUGCCUACUUCUCCAACCUCAACUUGUACUUGCUAAAUAAAUCCUAGGUAUACAUUCAUCCAGCCAUAUGCAAAUACUUCUGUAGUGCCUAUUACAUAACACACAUUGUUCUAGACAAAACAGAACAAUCUUUUCCUCAAGGAACUUGAUGUCCUUCUUAUUCCUUGAAUAAGCGUGGCUCUUUCCUGCCUCAGGGCCUUUGCACAAGCUAUUCUGGCUAGAAUGCUUUUCUUUUCACUUCUCAUUCCUUUUCUGACUAUUCUAUUUAAAGUAGCUGCUUCCACUUCUGCUGUAGAGCUCUUUAUUUCCUUCAUAACUCAUAUCAGAGACUGAAUAUAUAUAUAGAGAGAGAGAGAGGGAGAGAGAGAGAAUGUAAUAUAAUCUAUUCCAUGAGGCCGGGAUCAUGUUCAUUUAGAUUGCCACUGUAUACUUAAAACUUAGCAUUAUGACUGUUAGCACAUGGUAAGGGCUCAGUAAACAUUUGCUAAAAGGAUACAGACUCUGGGUAUAUUUUUACUAAAAAGAUUCACUGAUGACCAAAUUAUCUUAAUAGUCUGUUAUUUAUAUCCUUUUAUAUGUGCACUUCAGAAGAUGGUAGAAAAGUUUCUGAAUUGUAAUUUAUGGCC
ensembl:lncRNA